rnacentral:rRNA from 1 species
GACGAACGCUGGCGGCGUGCUUAACACAUGCAAGUCGAACGGAGUGGCGACCGGGCGAGUAACACGUGGGUGACCUGCCCUGCACUUCGGGAUAAGCCUGGGAAACUGGGUCUAAUACCGGAUAGUGUGGGAUGGGCCCGCGGCCUAUCAGUUUGUUGGUGGGGUAAUGGCCUACCAAGGCGGCGACGGGUAGCCGGCCGGAGAGGGUGGACGGCCACCUUGGGGCUGGAAGACGGCCCAGGCUCCUACGGGAGGCAGCAGUGGGGAAUAUUGCACAAUGGGCGGAAGCCUGAUGCGGCGACGCCGGGUGGGGGAUGACGGCCUGCGAGUUGUGAACUCCUAUCACAAUCGACGCGGUAUAUGGAGAAGAAGCAACGGCUAACUACGUGCCAGCAGCCGCGGUAAUAC